rnacentral:rRNA from 1 species
GAUGAACGCUGGCGGCGUGCCUAAUACAUGCAAGUCGAGCGAACAGAUGAGGAGCUUGCUCCUCUGACGUUAGCGGCGGACGGGUGAGUAACACGUGGAUACCCUACCUAUCAGACUGGGAUAACUUCGGGACACCGGAGCUAAUACCGUAUAAUAUCUUGAACCGCAUGGUUCAAUAGUGAAAGUCGGUUUUGCUGUCACUUCUAGAUGGAUCCGCGCCGCAUUAGCUAGUUGGUAAGGUAACGGCUUACCAAGGCAACGAUGCGUAGCCGACCUGAGAGGGUGAUCGGCCACACGGGAGCUGGGACACGGUCCAGACUCCUACGGGAGGCAGCAGUAGGGAAUCUUCCGCAAUGGGCGAAAGCCUGACGGAGCAACGCCGCGUGAGUGAUGAAGGUCUUCGGAUCGUAAAACUCUGUUAUGAGGGAAGAACAAAUGUGUAAGUAACUAUGCACGUAUUGACGGUACCUAAUCAGAAAGCCACGGCUAACUACGUG